UACGGAGGGUGCAAGCGUUGUUCGGAAUUACUGGGCGUAAAGCGCGUGCAGGCGGCCGAUUAAGUCCGGUGUGAAAGCCCGGGGCUCACCCCCGGAAGUGCGCUGGAAACUGGUCGGCUAGAGUACGGGAGAGGGAAGCGGAAUUCCUGGUGUAGCGGUGAAAUGCGUAGAUAUCAGGAGGAACACCGGCGGCGAAGGCGGCUUCCUGGACCGAUACUGACGCUGAGACGCGAAAGCGUGGGGAGCAAACAGG
rnacentral:rRNA from 1 species